AGAGUUUGAUCAUGGCUCAGAACGAACGCUGGCGGCGUGGAUAAGACAUGCAAGUCGAACGAGAUUUUUUCCUGUAGCAAUACAGGGAAAAGUCUAGUGGCGAACGGGUGCGUAACACGUGGGCAAUCUGCCUUAAAGUGGGGGAUAGCUCGGCGAAAGCCGAAUUAAUACCGCAUGUGAUCAGAGGGGACAUCCCUUCGAAAUCAAAGUCGGGGCAACCUGACGCUUUUUGAGGAGCCCGCGGCCUAUCAGCUAGUUGGUGAGGUAAUGGCUCACCAAGGCUCUGACGGGUAGCUGGUCUGAGAGGACGACCAGUCACACUGGAACUGAGACACGGUCCAGACACCUACGGGUGGCAGCAGUCGAGAAUUUUUCUCAAUGGGGGAAACCCUGAAGGAGCGACGCCGCGUGGAGGAUGAAGGUCUUCGGGUUGUAAACUCCUGUCAUUUGGGAACAAGUGCCGGUACCUAACUGCUACCGGCUUGAUAGUACCAGAAGAGGAAGGGACGGCUAACUCUGUGCCAGCAGCCGCGGUAAUACAGAGGUCUCAAGCGUUGUUCGGAUUCAUUGGGCGUAAAGGGUGUGUAGGUGGCGCGCUAAGUCGGGUGUGAAAUUUCGGAGCUUAACUCCGAAACUGCAUUUGAUACUGGCGUGCUUGAGGACUGGAGAGGAGACUGGAAUUCAUGGUGUAGCAGUGAAAUGCGUAGAGAUCAUGAGGAAGACCAGUGGCGAAGGCGGGUCUCUGGACAGUUCCUGACACUGAGACACGAAGGCCAGGAGAGCAAACGGGAUUAGAUACCCCCGUAGUCC
rnacentral:rRNA from 1 species